rnacentral:rRNA from 1 species
UUGAUCCUGGCUCAGGAUGAACGCUGGCGGCGUGCCUAAUACAUGCAAGUCGAGCGAACUGACGAGGAGCUUGCUCCUUUGACGUUAGCGGCGGACGGGUGAGUAACACGUGGGUAACCUACCUAUAAGACUGGAAUAACUCCGGGAAACCGGGGCUAAUGCCGGAUAACAUGUUGAACCGCAUGGUUCAACAGUGAAAGACGGUCUUGCUGUCACUUAUAGAUGGACCCGCGCCGUAUUAGCUAGUUGGUAAGGUAACGGCUUACCAAGGCGACGAUACGUAGCCGACCUGAGAGGGUGAUCGGCCACACUGGAACUGAGACACGGUCCAGACUCCUACGGGAGGCAGCAGUAGGGAAUCUUCCGCAAUGGGCGAAAGCCUGACGGAGCAACGCCGCGUGAGUGAUGAAGGUCUUCGGAUCGUAAAUCUCUGUUGUUAGGGAAGAACAUAUGUGUAAGUAACUGUGCACAUCUUGACGGUACCUAACCAGAAAGCCACGGCUAACUACGUGCCAGCAG